CAGCAGCCCGAGUGGUGGUCGUUUUUAUUGGGCCUAAAGCAUCCGUAGCCGGCGCUGUAAGUUUUCGGUUAAAUCUGUACGCUCAACGUACAGGCUGCCGGGAAUACUGCAGCGCUAGGGAGUGGGAGAGGUAGACGGUACUCGGUAGGAAGGGGUAAAAUCCUUUGAUCUAUUGAUGACCACCUGUGGCGAAGGCGGUCUACCAGAACACGUCCGACGGUGAGGGAUGAAAGCUGGGGGAGCAAACCGGAUUAGAUACCCGAGUAGUCC
rnacentral:rRNA from 1 species